rnacentral:rRNA from 1 species
CUGCCCUUCACUCUGGGACAAGCCCUGGAAACGGGGUCUAAUACCGGAUAACACUCUGUCCCGCAUGGGACGGGGUUAAAAGCUCCGGCGGUGAAGGAUGAGCCCGCGGCCUAUCAGCUUGUUGGUGGGGUAAUGGCCUACCAAGGCGACGACGGGUAGCCGGCCUGAGAGGGCGACCGGCCACACUGGGACUGAGACACGGCCCAGACUCCUACGGGAGGCAGCAGUGGGGAAUAUUGCACAAUGGGCGAAAGCCUGAUGCAGCGACGCCGCGUGAGGGAUGACGGCCUUCGGGUUGUAAACCUCUUUCAGCAGGGAAGAAGCGAAAGUGACGGUACCUGCAGAAGAAGCGCCGGCUAACUACGUGCCAGCAGCCGCGGUAAUACGUAGGGCGCAAGCGUUGUCCGGAAUUAUUGGGCGUAAAGAGCUCGUAGGCGGCUUGUCACGUCGGAUGUGAAAGCCCGGGGCUUAACCCCGGGUCUGCAUUCGAUACGGGCUAGC